UGUUUCACUCCGAGUCCGUGCAGUUAGUUCCACUCUGCAGGGCUGGGUGCUCACUUCUUGGUUAGAGAGGCUUUGGGGAGGGUGUGGUUGUUCCCUUUCUCGCUCUAAGAACUACUACACAUCCACCUCCACUUCUGUGUCUCUUCCAGAAUGUCUGUAAACCUGUGGAGGAGACACAGCGCCCACCCACACUGCAGGAGAUCAAGCAGAAGAUUGACAGCUACAACACGCGAGAGAAGAACUGCCUGGGCAUGAAACUGAGUGAAGAUGGCACCUACACGGGUUUCAUCAAAGUGCAUCUAAAACUCCGGCGGCCUGUGACAGUGCCUGCUGGGAUCCGGCCCCAGUCCAUCUAUGAUGCCAUGAAGGAGGUGAACCUGGCGGCUACCACGGACAAGCGGACAUCCUUCUACCUGCCCCUAGAUGCCAUCAAGCAGCUGCACAUCAGCAGCACCACCACCGUCAGUGAGGUCAUCCAGGGGCUGCUCAAGAAGUUCAUGGUUGUGGACAAUCCCCAGAAGUUUGCACUUUUUAAGCGGAUACACAAGGACGGACAAGUGGGAUGCCUUCUCCAU
rnacentral:sRNA from 1 species